GACGAACGCUGGCGGCGUGCUUAACACAUGCAAGUCGAACGGGUCUGCCCUGUUUUUUGCGGGGUGGGUCAGUGGCGAACGGGUGAGUAACACGUGAGUAACCUGCCCCUCACUUCUGGAUAACCGCUUGAAAGGGUGGCUAAUACGGGGUGUUCUGGCUGUGCCGCAUGGUGUGGCUGGGAAAGAUUCACUUUUGUGGUGUUUUGGUGGGGGAUGGGCUCGCGGCCUAUCAGCUUGUUGGUGGGGUGAUGGCCUGCCAAGGCUUUGACGGGUAGCCGGCCUGAGAGGGUGGGCGGUCACACGGGGACGGGGAUACGGCCCAGACUCCUGCGGGAGGCAGCAGUGGGGGGUAUUGCACAAUGGGCGGAAGCCUGAUGCAGCGACGUCGCGUGAGGGAUGGAGGCCUUCGGGUUGUGAACCUCUUUCGCCGGUGAAGAAGGUCCUGCUCUUUGGGGUGGGGUUGACGGUAGCCGGGUUAUGAAGCGCCGGCUAACUACGUG
rnacentral:rRNA from 1 species